UAAGGAAUAUUGCUCAAUGGGAGAAAUCCUGAAGCAGCAACGCCGCGUGGAGGAUGAAGGGUCUAUGACUUGUAAACUCCUGUAAAGAAGGAAAAAAUUCCCAUUAGAUGGGAGAUGAUGGUACUUCUGGAGUAAGCCCCGGCUAACUACGUGCCAGCAGCCGCGGUAAUACGUAGGGGGCAAGCGUUGUCCGGAUUUACUGGGUGUAAAGGGUGCUCAGGCGGAUUUGUAAGUCAGAGGUGAAAUCUUACAGCUUAACUGUGAAGCUGCCUUUGAUACUGCAAGCCUAGAGUAUGGAAGAGAGUGAUGGAAUAUCUGGUGUAGCAGUGAAAUGCGUAGAUAUCAGAUAGAACACCAAUGGCGAAGGCAGUCACUUGGUCCAUUACUGACGCUAAAGCACGAAAGCGUGGGUAGCAAACA
rnacentral:rRNA from 1 species